rnacentral:rRNA from 1 species
UACGUAGGGACCAAGCGUUGUUCGGAUUUACUGGGCGUAAAGGGCGCGUAGGCGGCGCGGUAAGUCACUUGUGAAAUCUCUGAGCUUAACUCAGAACGGCCAAGUGAUACUGCAGUGCUAGAGUGCAGAAAGGGCAAUCGGAAUUCUUGGUGUAGCGGUGAAAUGCGUAGAUAUCAAGAGGAACACCUGAGGCGAAGGCGAGUCCCUGGACAACUCCUGACACUGAUGCACGAAAGCUAGGGGAGCAAACAGG